rnacentral:rRNA from 1 species
GAGUUUGAUCAUGGCUCAGAUUGAACGCUGGCGGCAUGCCUUACACAUGCAAGUCGAGCGGCAGCGCGGGGGCAACCCUGGCGGCGAGCGGCGGACGGGUGAGUAAUACAUCGGAACGUGUCCUUUCGUGGGGGAUAACCAGUCGAAAGACUGGCUAAUACCGCAUGAGAUCUCACGAUGAAAGCGGGGGACCGCAAGGCCUCGCGCGAUUGGAGCGGCCGAUGUCGGAUUAGCUAGUUGGCGGGGUAAGAGCCCACCAAGGCGACGAUCCGUAGCUGGUUUGAGAGAACGACCAGCCACACUGGGACUGAGACACGGCCCAGACUCCUACGGGAGGCAGCAGUGGGGAAUUUUGGACAAUGGGCGCAAGCCUGAUCCAGCCAUGCCGCGUGUGUGAAGAAGGCCUUCGGGUUGUAAAGCACUUUCGGCCGGAACGAAA